rnacentral:rRNA from 1 species
UACCAGCACCCCGAGUGGUCGGGACGAUUAUUGGGCCUAAAGCAUCCGUAGCCGGUUCUACAAGUCUUCCGUUAAAUCCACCUGCUUAACAGAUGGGCUGCGGAGGAUACUAUAGAGCUAGGAGGCGGGAGAGGCAAGCGGUACUUAGUGGGUAGGGGUAAAAUCCGUUGAUCCAUUGAAGACCACCAGUGGCGAAGGCGGCUUGCCAGAACGCACUCGACGGUGAGGGAUGAAAGCUGGGGGAGCAACCGG